rnacentral:rRNA from 1 species
UACGGAGGGUGCAAGCGUUAUCCGGAUUCACUGGGCUUAAAGGGUGCGUAGGCGGGCAGAUAAGUCAGUGGUGAAAUACCUGAGCUUAACUUGGGAACUGCCAUUGAUACUAUUUGUCUUGAAUGUCGUGGAGGUUAGCGGAAUAUGUCAUGUAGCGGUGAAAUGCUUAGAGAUGACAUAGAACACCUAUUGCGAAGGCAGCUAACUACGCGAAUAUUGACGCUGAGGCACGAAAGCGUGGGGAUCAAACAGG